AGGUCAGUAGGUGACCUGCGGAAGGAUCAUUA
rnacentral:rRNA from 1 species